rnacentral:misc_RNA from 1 species
UGGGUUUGACAUGCAGGGUGAAACCGGCGAAAGCCGGCGCUCUUCGGAGCCUGCACCACCUGUGCACUGGUCCCGAAGGAGGGCCGUAUUUCUACGGAUUUCCAGUGCAUGUCAAACCCAGGUAAGGUUCUUCGCGUUGCAUCGAAUUAAUCCGCAUGCUCCGCCGCUUGUGCGGGCCCCCGUCAAUUCCUUUGAGUUUUAGCCUUGCGGCCGUACUCCCCAGGCGGGGCACUUAAUGCGUUAGCUUCGGCACGGAGAACGUGGAAUGUUCCCCACACCUAGUGCCCACCGUUUACGGCGUGGACUAC